UAUGUAACGGAAGUGACAUACGGCAGCGGUUAAUUUAAAUCCCAGUUUGUAAAUAGGGACUUCAAUUGCAACUCUUCUUGAUUUUAACAGCAAACGAUAACCAUACUGAAAGAUGGCAGACAGAGGUCAAAACACAAUGAAAAGUCCUGAGGUGGCAAAAGAAAUGAAAAACAACAUUUUACGGCAACAGCUUUUUAGUCCAACGGACAACUUAGUUUCACCCUGCACGCAAAAGUUAAUGGGAAUGAAGGGGAGAGGUAAACAAAGACUGUUGCACCAAGCAUUUAAGGGAGCAGCCAAGAAUGCACAGCUGCAUUCAGAGAAUGUGAAAGAAAACAUUACAUCCAAUUCUGCAUGAUGUUCAGUCAAGUCCCCUGUUUUUGAUCUCAUUAUGUUGUGGUUUUUUAAAAAAGACAUUGGACAGUGUGGAGCUGUACAUGAUAUUUGUGAUUCCUUUCAUGAUAUAAUUUAGGCUUCACAGUAAUCAAUGACAAGUUGGCAUAGCAUUUUUGUACCCAUAUAUAUAGGAAACAAUCUCCCUAAAGAUUCUUUCAUGGUUUAACUCAUUAAAUUGGUGAACAGAAUGAAGAACAGUGCAAGUCAAUUUUUUGGGCAUGGUGCACAUGCCUAUGUUGUAUUUGUUUGUACUAUUGAUAGUAUUUGAAAUGCCUUUUUUGUUAAAUCAUUGUGAUUAUGUGUAUGUGAAACUGACUGAUGAUGUAU